rnacentral:rRNA from 1 species
UUAGGAAUCUUGCGCAAUGGGGGAAACCCUGACGCAGCGACGCCGCGUGAGCGAUGAAGUCUCUAGGGAUGUAAAGCUCUGUCCUAUGGGGAAGAAGGAUGUGACGGUACCCAUAGAGAAAGCCCCGGCUAACUACGUGCCAGCAGCCGCGGUAAUACGUAGGGGGCGAGCGUUGUCCGAAUUUACUGGGCGUAAAGCGCGUGUAGGCGGCUCUUUAAGUGAGAUGUGAAAUCUUGCGGCUCAACCGCAAAACUGCAUCUCAAACUGGAGGGCUUGAGUUUGGGAGAGGAAAGUGGAAUUCCUGGUGUAGCGGUGAAAUGCGUAGAUAUCAGGAGGAACACCCGUGGCGAAGGCGGCUUUCUGGCCCAACACUGACGCUGAGACGCGAAAGCUAGGGGAGCGAACGGG